GUGGAUUAGAUACCCUGGUAGUCCACGCUGUAAACGAUGUCAACUGGGUGUCGGUGGUUUUACACUAUCGGUGCCGAAGCAAACGCGUUAAGUUGACCGCCUGGGGACUACGGCCGCAAGGCUAAAACUCAAAGGAAUUGACGGGGGCCCGCACAAGCAGCGGAGCGUGUGGUUUAAUUCGAUGCGACACGAAGAACCUUACCCAGAUUUGACAUGUACGUAGUAGUGAAACGAAAGUGGAACGCGCCUUCGGGCAGCGCACACAGGUGCUGCACGGCCGUCGUCAACU
rnacentral:rRNA from 1 species